rnacentral:rRNA from 1 species
UACGGAGGGUGCAAGCGUUAUCCGGAUUCACUGGGUUUAAAGGGUGCGUAGGCGGGCUUGUAAGUCAGGGGUGAAAGCCCGGAGCUUAACUCCGGAACUGCCAUUGAUACUGCAGGUCUUGAGUACACUUGAGGUGGGCGGAAUACAUCAUGUAGUGGUGAAAUACUUAGAUAUGAUGUAGAACACCGAUUGCGAAGGCAGCUCACUAAAUUGUAACUGACGCUGAGGCACGAAAGCGUGGGGAUCAAACAGG